rnacentral:rRNA from 1 species
CCUACGGGGGGCUGCAGUGGGGAAUAUUGGACAAUGGGGGGAACCCUGAUCCAGCCAUGCCGCGUGUGUGAAGAAGGCCCUCGGGUUGUAAAGCACUUUCAGUGAGGAAGAACGCCUGGUGGUUAAUACCCAUCAGGAAAGACAUCACUCACAGAAGAAGCACGGGCUAACUCCGUGCCAGCAGCCGCGGUAAUACGGAGGGUGCGAGCGUUAAUCGGAAUUACUGGGCGUAAAGCGCGCGUAGGUGGCUUGAUAAGCCGGUUGUGAAAGCCCCGGGCUCAACCUGGGAACGGCAUCCGGAACUGUCAAGCUAGAGUGCAGGAGAGGAAGGUAGAAUUCCCGGUGUAGCGGUGAAAUGCGUAGAGAUCGGGAGGAAUACCAGUGGCGAAGGCGGCCUUCUGGACUGACACUGACACUGAGGUGCGAAAGCGUGGGUAGCAAACAGGAUUAGAUACCCUUGUAGUC